rnacentral:rRNA from 1 species
UACGAAGGGGGCUAGCGUUGCUCGGAAUCACUGGGCUUAAAGGGCGCGUAGGCGGAAGGUCAAGUCCGAGGUGAAAUCUUUCGGCUCAACCGGAAAAGUGCCUUGGAUACGGAUCUUCUCGAGGGAGGUAGGGGCAUGUGGAACUUCCGGUGGAGCGGUGAAAUGCGUAGAUAUCGGAAGGAACGCCGGUGGCGAAAGCGGCAUCCUGGACCGGUAUUGACGCUGAGGCGCGAAAGCCAGGGGGA